rnacentral:rRNA from 1 species
UACGUAGGGUGCAAGCGUUGUCCGGAAUUAUUGGGCGUAAAGAGCUCGUAGGCGGUUUGUCGCGUCUGCUGUGAAAACGCGGGGCUCAACUCCGCGCCUCAGUGGGUACGGGCAGACUAGAGUGCAGUAGGGGAGACUGGAAUUCCUGGUGUAGCGGUGGAAUGCGCAGAUAUCAGGAGGAACACCGGUGGCGAAGGCGGGUCUCUGGGCUGUAACUGACGUGGAGGAGCGAAAGCGUGGGGAGCGAACAGG